rnacentral:rRNA from 1 species
GUCGUCCUCUCAGGGUUAGGCGGGACCUAAGGCGAGUCCGAAAGGCGUAGUCGAUGGACAGCAGGUUAAUAUUCCUGCCCCGCCGUCGUGGAGUGAUGGGGUGACGCAUUAGGAUAGGCCAACCGGAGCUAUGGCUAUGCCCGGCGGCGUGCGAAGCCUGGAGGGAUAGGCAAACCCGCCCUCCGCGUAGGUGACGUACGUCGGGAAGGCCCUACGGGGCUGAUAACUGGUCGACUCCAUGGUGCCAAGAAAAACCUCUAAACGUUGAAGCGACGGCGCCCGUACCAAAACCGACACAGGUGGGCGAGUGUAAGAGCACUAAGGCGCGCGAGAGAACCCUGGUUAAGGAACUCGGCAAAUUGGCCCCGUAACUUCGGGAGAAGGGGUCCCGCGUGUAGGGUUGAUCAUCCGAUCUGCCCGAGGCGGGCACAGUAAACCGGCUCUAGCGACUGUUUACCACAAUCACAGCACUCUGCUAACCCGAAUAGGGGAUGUAUAGGGUGUGACACCUGCCCGGUGCCGGAAGGUCAAAGGGAGGCGUGCAAGCGCCGAACUGAAGCCCCGGUGAACGGCGGCCGUAACUAUAACGGUCCUAAGGUAGCGAAAUUCCUUGUCAGGUAAGUUCUGACCUGCACGAAUGGUGUAACGACUGGAGCGCUGUCUCAACCAGGGACUCGGUGAAAUUGAACUGGCCGUAUAGAUGCGGCCUACCCGCAGCAGGACGAAAAGACCCCGUGGAGCUUUACUACAGCUUGAUGCUGACGUUUGGACUGGUCUGUGUAGGAUAGGUGGGAGACUGUGAAGCCGGGCCGCUAGGCUCGGUGGAGUCACCGGUGAAAUACCACCCUGAUCGGUUCGGCCGUCUAACCUGCGCCCGUUAUCCGGGUGAGGAACAGCGUUAGGUGGGUAGUUUGACUGGGGCGGUCGCCUCCUAAAUCGUAACGGAGGCGCCCAAAGGUUCCCUCAGCACGGUCGGAAAUCGUGCGUAGAGCGCAAGGGUAUAAGGGAGCUUGACUGCGAGACGUACAUGUCGAGCAGGGACGAAAGUCGGCCCUAGUGAACCGGUGGUACCUUGUGGAAGGGCCAUCGAUCAACGGAUAAAAGUUACCCCGGGGAUAACAGGCUGAUACCGCCCGAGCGUUCACAGCGGCGGCGGUGUUUGGCACCUCGAUGUCGGCUCGUCAUAUCCUGGGGCUGAAGAA